CCCCCUGCUGCUGAUUUUUUUUGUGUUUGUCUCUCUCCUCCAGUUGUUUUUUAAUAAAAUAAUUGUGUUGGUUUGAAAACAAUCUUUAUUCUAUUAAUUGGAAGCAAACAGAGUCCUGCAAAGCAAAAGACAAUUAUCUUAAACCUUCAGAUUGCAUCAUCUGCACCAAUCACAAUCACCUCCUAGCAUUACAAGCACUGCACUACCGAGCAUAGCAACAAAUAUUAAUGGCUUUUAGCUUAAAAUUGCUGCCUCAAGGCAUCCCUGAUCCUUAUGGCCGUAUGCUGUGCCCCUUUAAUAGCCCUGAUCUCUGGCUGAUCAAAUUCAGCCUCCAGACACUGAGUCUCAGCGGUCCAGCCCUGAGUG